UAGUGAUGUUUGUGACAUCAGAAUAAUUCCAUGGCUGGUUUCCAAGCUAACCCUUGUUAUGAGCACACACAAUUGUACUUCGAGCAACUGGGCACAAGAACAAUCAAGUACAGCGUAGCUUCUCACAUUACCAGUCAUCUUUUUCAUUCUCAGUGUGCUUCAUAAACAUUAAUGAUUGCCUGUCAAAAUGUAGCUUGUACCAAUGUGAUGAAGGUUUAAUCAGACUGAAGAAAGAUUACAAUCAGUGUUAUUGUGAGCACUUAAUGCGACAGAGACAGUAGAAGAGGGAUAUUGGAAGUCCCUAUGAAAGCAGAGGCAUUACAACAUCCCAUGAAUAGUUUCCUGAAAAGCUCUAGGACAGAGUGCUUAGAGAGAAGCAUUUGUGGUUGGAGCAUAUCAGGAACACUCUGAAGUAUGUCUUCAUUUAGUUUUGUCCAAAAGGAAUUCAAUGAAGUGUUCAGGGAGCUCUGCAGUAAAAACUACAGGAAAAGCAGCUGAGAGAGGUGGAGAGCAGCUGCAUUUCAAAGG